CAGUUGACACACUUCAUCAAGUCAUUCAAAGCAGUCUGCAGUGUCUCCUCUUUGUAAAAUGGGGUUCUCCUGUCUGUGAGACUGUCGAUCGAUCGUGGGUCGUGUGAGAGAAAGGCCCCAACAGCACUGCGCCUGACUCGGAGUGGCACUGUCCUGCCCAGACGCCAGCCUAGGGAGGGGUGAGGAGGAGGCUGCACUGGCGCUCGGGUCGCCGCACCGCCCCGCAGCCGCGCGCUCUCCGCAGUGACAGCAACCGCAACUGCAGCAGCACCCAGCUCCAUCCUCACCAGCCUGGACCGAGCCCUAGCCCGGCAGUUCCGGCUGAGGACCAGAAGCAGAAGGUGUGCAGGUGCCCCGAGCCCCCACUCCAUUGACCGAAGCGCAAGAAACCCGGAGUGGGCUAGAUGCGGUACUGCACCAAGGGGACUGAGAAAAAGAGGACUGGAAAACAUGAAGCGAUUCAGACGGGGUAGGAUUGAGCCUCAGAGUCCGCACAGAGGACUUUGGCAGGGCCUGGGGCAGCAAGGGUGGCUUCAAGGAAUCGGAGGGUUCUGACCACUGCAGAUGCGGCUCAUGUGGGUGCGGCGAAAGCACCCACUUCUCCCAGGAUCUAAACGGAUAAACGGAAGCGAGUGUAAGUGUGGGGGUGCGAAUCGCCACCUCCGGCCUUGGCUUUCCCGUUCCUGAGAGCACCCCCACUUCUCACUUUCCCAAAAUCCGCAUUUUUCUUGGCACAGCCCUCCCGAACACCGAGCUAAGAGAGGGAGGUGCCCGGGGGCAGUGAGAGUGACGUGUGCUGGUGCAGAGGGGGGUGGGGGGCUGCGGGCUGGGCUCUGUGGACCGACUCCUAAUCCUCUUGUUUUCGGAACCGUCAGCAGAUGUGGCUUCUCUUAGCUGAAUAAUCCGUUAAAGGAAUAAUAAUUUUUAAAAAGGACUUCGGCCUCACCCAACGAGGACAGUGAAGGAGAUCAGCGCCUGAUCUGCCGUUGGUUUGGACUGGCUGAGACGCUGCGGGCUGCAACCAGUGUCUUUUAAGGGAGAACAAAAAGAUGAGGAUCUUGUGCGGGGCUCCGGGACAAAGCGUCUUGGGCCCGGUGACAAGGGUCACGCGGAACUCUGGCUCCCGGACUGAAGAGAUCAACGCUGCCCAACGGUACCCAGCAGGACCUGCGGACCUCUGAGGCGAGAGGACCGCAGCAGGAGAGUUCCGGAAGGCUGAUUCCCACAGAUCCUGGUAAGGGACCACUGCGGCUCUGCCCUGCGGCACGCCCGGCCAGGCUGCACCAGGACUCUACACUCUAGGAAAAAGCUUGGAAACGAAAGGAUGCGGGAGAACAAAGAGCCUACGGAGGACGUGGCUGUUAUCUCAUUGUCUGUGACUGGGGGAGCUGCGGUAGGAAGGAUGCGGUGGUCCUUAGCUCAUCGCGUUCCCCAAACCCCACACCCUCUCUGCUGUCAGUGCGCACGCACACGCACGCGUCGCCAGCUCUUUUUUUUUCUCAUCCCUCGUUUUUUUCAUUUCAUCUUCUCCCCAUCCCCUCCCUUUCUUUCCACCUUUCCUUCCUUUCUCCCUCCCUCCUUUUCUUCCCCCUCCCCCCUCCCUUUCUCCUAUCCUCCCUCCCUCCCAUCCUUCCUUCUUCCGAUCUUUCUUUCCUUCCUUCCUUCUUCCUUCCUCAGGAGAAAGGCCUCUCUCUCCGUGUUCACAGCGGACCUUGAUUUAAAUGUCCAUACAAUUAAGGCACGCGGUGAAUGCCAAGAAUGGGGCUGUCUGAGCACCUUGGGUCCACGAGGGCCCGCCACGGAAGGAUCGACUCAGCACAACGCCUUGUGCAGAUUUCAGUGCUGCAGCUGCAGGCGCCCACAGUAGGGGUAGCGGACUUCUAAGUGCCUCGCAAUGUAGCCCUUAGGGUGGGGAGGUGUGCGGCUACCAACAGAGAGGGGUUUGUGCAGAUGCGAAUAGAAUCUAGGAAGCAAACAACUCGUUCUGUGAUAGGAACACGUAUCUAUGCAAGCAGGGUGGUGGUGAAAGUAGAAAAUAGCCUGGCAGGAGGGUGGAGAGUGAAACGUGCAUCUUAGCAUCUGGGACCCUGCCCAUUGUAGAAGGCCAGCACCUUCAUCCCUAUCCGUUUUAGUUCCGAAUUUCAAUUUACCCUUAAACAAAAAAUAAUCGAGUACCCAUGCGACUGGCGGACUGCCCCAGAGCCUGGACUGCAGCUACCUUGUGUACUGCUUGGGGGUUGCUGGGGGUAGUCUUUAGGGGAAGCUGUUUGUCACCCUUCGGUGGAGAGCUGCGGGCAUUUGACAGGCUUAAGCAGGACUCUGGGGUGAAGGCAAUCAGCAAAUUUGUUCGUGGGCAGCACACAGACUCCAUCAAAACUGACAGCUAGCCCACUGCUCAAAGCAGGGCCUCCCAGACUCCUUGGGGCUGUGACUGAAGUUUCAGGCAGAGAUCCAGAAGCUACAGGGAAAAAAAGGCGCAGUACCCCGCAUAGCCUCCCCCCACCAACCCAGAGUGAGGGCUGCUCCCCGUUGCUCUUAAAACCCCCGGACAGAAGGAAAAACAGCAUGUGUAAGGUGGGGGCCUGCGGAAAGUCUGUUUCGAAACAGGCUGUCCAAGAACAGAAAGGGUUAAGCCUCCCUCAUCCUGAAGCACCUGCUUCCCAAAUCAGCCCCCAGCAGCAGCUGGUCCUGGAGGCCCCCCGACACAGUUCCAUCCAGUCUCCAUCUCAGUGUUCCGCCAACCUGCAGUGGAUGGAUGGUGGCCUGGUGGCCGACCUAAACUCAUUAAUUUCCAGGUGGAGAAAAUGGAGGAGGGGCAGGACACAGCAGCAGAGGGAGGGAAAGGAGGCCAAGAGCUGGCCUUCCCCCUACCCCCAGGAAGCAGGCUGUAGCCCUCCCCCCUGCUGCCAUGCCAGAGGCCUGCCUUUGCAAGGCCAAGCCCAUAAAGGAUGUUUAGGAGUUUAAUCUGAUUCCUAACACAGUAAUCAGGGUCUAAAAGAGCAUCCGUUGAAGUUAAUGGAGGACUCUUGUCUCAAAGCCUCAGCCUCAUCUUGUCUAGUAUAUUAGUAUCUGAAGGUAUCAUGGAUCAGUACCUCUCUGGCCUACUUUCCUCAAGAAUAUUCAUUAUUUCUUGAGUAUCUACUAUGUGUCCUACUUUGCGAUUAUUUCAACUUCUAAAUUUCCUCACAGAGGAGAGUGUUAGAGCCAGCCAGGCUGAGGUUAAACUCACCACAUUGCACCUAGGCAGUCCUAGAUCCUUCUCUGCUCUGCAAAAAUGAGCCACCACUGCCUGCUCACUCUUGCAGGCAGAAAGCUGCAGUGCACACAUCCUGAGGGCUUCUCUGGCUGAGUCCUACAAGGCAAACAGGACUGCUUCAAGGUGGAAAAGGAAAGACUCAGCAAUGGCUGUCCUAAGAGAUGUCAUAGUCAUUACCUUCAAAAUCUACCUCCCUUGAAAUAAGAAUUGGCCCCAUCCUGGAAUGCUCCCCUACCUUAUGAAUAGUUUAGAAGAGGGCAGCUAGUGUGCUGUACCAUUUGGGGGUACGCCCAUUUGCCGCAACACCCCCCUCUUCAUGCUCGUUGAGAUGUUAUUUUGCCUUCAAGCAAUGGCCUAAGCUGCUGAUGGCUCAACACCCCCUGGACCACAAAUGUCCCCAUUAGCAAUCCUCUGCUCAGUAAUUGCUUCCCCGUGAUUCCUUCAAAUGUCCCCUCGUCCUUCACCAAUAUUUCAUCUUACAUAACCUCCAGAUGCUUCCCCCAAGUAAGGUCCUUUUAGGUAGAAACCCAAUAUGCUUUUUCUUUGAGAACUCCAACCGCAGGCCCCGUCCAUAAGGCCUGCCUGGGAUCUGCUACAGAGGAUCCGUGUUGGGAGGGGUGCAUUGUUAUUUUAUUGCUUACGUAAACUCUUGGUCCAGAAAGCAUUAUUAGUGUGUGGGAGUGCUCUGGGCUGGCCAGUCUGUGUGAACCAGUGUGAGUAUGUGUCUACCAGAUCCCCUUCACAGAAGGGGUUUAUGUGUAGGUCUCUAAUGACCUGCUCAGCCCCAGGUAUAAUUGCAAGCCCCCUUUCGCUUCCACCAAAUGAAGAGGCGAGGUCAGCCUGAGCCACCUCCUUCCUCUACCCUUGUCGCCCUUCUCUGCCCAUCAGUAAUUAUGCAGAGAACUCGAAGCUUUCGACUCUCCCAAGGCACCUCUAGAAUUCUCAACAUCAUCUCCCCUGCCUGUCUGAACCUUCUAAUUACAUCUUCUGGCUAAAAUGAAAGGAGAAACGUAUGAUCUAACAGUAGGAUGAGGUUGCCAUCGCUUGAUGACUGAAUGUGUUUUCUUUUCCCCUUGGAUUUGUUCACAACCACUACUGCCUUAGUCCCUAUGGGGUACAAUCUCUUGUGUUCCUUAAGGAACCCAGCGCUGGGACUAGAUUUAGUAAUGUAUCAAAGAACUAAUUACAAUUGCUAUGUUUCUCUCCCCUGCCAGAGACAGCCCAGAUCUGUCUCAGUGAGAAAGAAUCCAUUCUUUAACAGAGACAGUGCGAGGGGGGGGAAAUCUAUGAAUGUCUUCUGUUGGGGGAGGGUGCAUUAAAAACUUUCAUCAGAUAACUAAUAUGUGGGAGGGGUAUGUCCCCAGCUAGUAUUUCUCCGUGCACACGUAUUAAGCCAUAGAUUUUCUCACAUCACCGUAUCCAUCGCUAAUGUGGAAGGCACUUGACCACAGAAAAAUGUGCACCCAUCCACACCAGCUCUACAAGGAAAAUUUCUCUCCCACUAUUGAACUUACAUAAUACCCACCCCCAUUCCAACCUUAGAGUGCCGUCUGGGGGCAGCUGCAGAAUUCCUGCCUGGGACAGAUGGAGCCUCCCCUUCCUCAGCUACUCUGUGGGUGGUUUUGAGCCCAUGAGUCAACAUGGGCAGACUGUAGUGUGUGCUGGCUGCAGCAGCGGUGGUGGUAGUGGUGAUGGUGGUGGUGGUGGUGGUGGUGUGUGUGUGUGUGUGUGUGUGUGUGUGUGUGUGUAUGAGUCUUAGCAGUCUGAUUCACAUUGAGAAUAUCAACAACAAUGUUGAGAAUUAUGACACCUAAUAAAGAUCUUUUUUCUUUCAA